GACGAACGCUGGCGGCGUGCUUAACACAUGCAAGUCGAACGGUGAACCUCUUCGGAGGGGAUCAGUGGCGAACGGGUGAGUAACACGUGGGCAACCUGCCCCCGGCUCUGGGAUAACUCCAAGAAAUUGGGGCUAAUACCGGAUGUUCACCGCUUCCCGCAUGGGUGGUGGUGGAAAGGGUUUCCGGCUGGGGAUGGGCCCGCGGCCUAUCAGCUUGUUGGUGGGGUAGUGGCCUACCAAGGCGACGACGGGUAGCCGGCCUGAGAGGGUGACCGGCCACACGGGGACUGAGACACGGCCCAGACUCCUACGGGAGGCAGCAGUGGGGAAUAUUGCGCAAUGGGCGGAAGCCUGACGCAGCGACGCCGCGUGGGGGAUGACGGCCUUCGGGUUGUAAACCGCUGUCAGCAGGGACGAAGCGCAAGUGACGGUACCUGCAGAAGAAGCACCGGCCAACUACGUG
rnacentral:rRNA from 1 species